rnacentral:sRNA from 1 species
GUUUGCACUUAUCGGGGAAGGGUGAGAACCUUCGAUUAAGGUUCGACUCGAGCGAAAGCGAGAGAACGUUGCCAACGGCAACGGCCCGUAGGGUGAGGAGCGAAG